UGGGUAACCUGCCUCAAAGAGGGGAAUAGCCUCCCGAAAGGGAGAUUAAUACCGCAUAAUAUGUUUAAGUCGCAUGACUUUAACAUCAAAGGAUUUUUCUUUUAAGAAAUUCCACUUUGAGAUGGACCCCGCGGCGCAUUAGCUAGUUGGUGAGGUAACGGCUCGCCAAGGCAACGAUGCGUAGCCGACCUGAGGAGGGUGAUCCGGACCACAUUGGAACUGAGACACGGUCCAGACUCCGUAGG
rnacentral:rRNA from 1 species